rnacentral:rRNA from 1 species
CCUACGGGAGGCAGCAGUGAGGAAUAUUGGUCAAUGGACGAGAGUCUGAACCAGCCAAGUAGCGUGAAGGAUGACUGCCCUAUGGGUUGUAAACUUCUUUUAUAAAGGAAUAAAACGAGGCACGUGUGCCUUUUUGCAUGUACUUUAUGAAUAAGGAUCGGCUAACUCCGUGCCAGCAGCCGAGGUAAUACGGAGGAUCCGAGCGUUAUCCGGAUUUAUUGGGUUUAAAGGGAGCGUAGAUGGGUUGUUAAGUCAGUUGUGAAAGUUUGCGUCUCAACCGUAAAAUUGCAAUUGAUAAUGGCAGUCGUGAGUACAGUUGAGGUAAGCGGAAUUCGUGGUGUAGCGGUGAAAUGCUUAGAUAUCACGAAGAACCCCGAUUGCGAAGGCAGCUUACUAAACUGUGACUGACAUUGAUGCUCGAAAGUGUGGGUAUCAAACAGGAUUAGAUACCCGAGUAGUC